AACAUGGCAACUUGUUGAUUAAUACUACCAUAAUCCACAAUUCUCCCCUCUCUUAUAAAUUCUUCUACUGCUCCAUUACCAUUCACUGUACUUUUCUUGUCUUGCAUCAUCCACUGAAUCAGUGCGAGGUGGCAAAUCAUAGGCAUUUCAUUGUGCAUUGAUACCCACUUACCAUCUUCUCUUGGUUUCUUGCUUUCCUUCUUCUUCCCCUCCAAACCUUCAUAGCCAUUAUUGUUUGGAAGAACCCACCAAAGCUUACUGCUUCAAUGGCGCUCUGUGCAUUCUCAUUUCCUGCUCAUGCCAAAAGACUGGUAGAUCCUCUUCCAAAGUUCUAUUCUUU
rnacentral:lncRNA from 1 species